UUGCUUCAGCAGCACAUAUACUAAAACUAGAAUGAUACAAAGAAGAUUAGCAUGGGCCCUGUGCAAGGAUUUUGUAAUUUUGCCCUGGGGUAAUAUACAGUGUA